GGCUGUGGUAGCCUCAGUGGUAGUGCCAGAAGUUGGUGUGGUAGUCUGUUCCGUUGAAGUGGUGGCUGUUGUGGUUGUAGCUUCAGUGGUCCUGCUGACAGUUGGUAUGGUAGUCUGCUCAGUAGAAGUGGUGGCUGCUGUGGUAGUUGUAGUUUCAGUGGAAAUGGUAGUGGUGGCUGUUGCAGUGGUAGCCUCAGUGGUAGUGCUGGUAGUUGGUGUGGUAGUCAGUUCUGUUGAAGUGGUGGCUGUUGCAGUGGUAGUCUCAGUGGUAGUGCUGGUAGUUGGUGUGGUAGUCUGCUCAGUUGAUGUAGUGGCUAUUGUGGUUGUAGGUUCAGUGGAAACAGCAGUGGUAGCUAUUAUGGUUGUAGCCUCAGUGGGAAUACUGGUAGUCAUUGGGGUAGUCAGUUCAGUUGAAGUGGUAGAUGCUGUGGUGUCUGUAGGUUCAGUGGAAGCUGCAGUAGUGGAAGCAGUGGAGGCAGCCCCAGUGGUACUGCUGGUACUUAGUGUGGUAGGCAGUUCUAUUGUAGUGGUGGCUGCUGUGGUGGUAGCCUCAGUGGUACUACUGGUAGUUGGUGUGGUAGUCUGUUCAGUUGAAGUACUGGCUAUGGCUGUGGUAACCUCAGUGGUAGUGCCAGAAGUUGGUGUGGUAGUCUGUUCCAUUGAAGUGGUGGCUGUUGUGGUUGUAGCCUCAGUGGUAGUGCUGGCAGUUGGUGUAGUAGUUUGUUCAGUUGAAGUGGUGACUGUUGUGGUUGUAGCCUCAGUGGUAGUGCUGGCAGUAGGUGUGGUACUCUGUUCCAUGGAAGUGGUGGCUGUUGUGGUUGUAGCCUCAGUG
rnacentral:lncRNA from 1 species